rnacentral:rRNA from 1 species
UACGUAGGGUGCGAGCGUUUAAUCGGAAUUACUGGGCGUAAAGCGUGCGCAGGCUGUUCUGUAAGUCAGAUGUGAAAUCCCCGAGCUCAACUUGGGAACUGCGUUUGAAACUACAGGACUAGAAUAUGUCAGAGGGGGGUAGAAUUCCACGUGUAGCAGUGAAAUGCGUAGAGAUGUGGAGGAAUACCAAUGGCGAAGGCAGCCCCCUGGGAUAAUAUUGACGCUCAUGCACGAAAGCGUGGGGAGCAAACAGG